UCCUCAGAACAGCAGAACAGCAGCAGUGC
rnacentral:piRNA from 1 species